CGGCGAACGGGUGCGUAACACGUGAGCAAUCUGCCUAAGAUGUGGGGGAUAGCCGGCCCAACGGCCGGGUAAUACCGCAUACGCUUCUAUGGUGGCAUCACCUAAGAAGGAAGCCCUUCGGGGGCAUCUAGAGGAGCUCGCGGCCUAUCAGCUAGUUGGUGAGGUAAUGGCUCACCAAGGCUUUGACGGGUAGCUGGUCUGAGAGGAUGGCCAGCCACAUUGGGACUGAGAUACGGCCCAGACUCCUACGGGAGGCAGCAGUGGGGAAUAUUGCGCAAUGGCCGAAAGGCUGACGCAGCGACGCCGCGUGGGGGAUGAAGCAUUUCGGUGUGUAAACCCCUGUUGCUCGGGACGAACAACCUCUUUAGAGAGGUCUGACGGUACCGGGUGAGGAAGCACCGGCUAACUCCGUGCCAGCAGCCGCGGUAAUACGGAGGGUGCGAGCGUUGUCCGGAAUCACUGGGCGUAAAGGGCGCGUAGGCGGUCUGCUAAGCGUGCGGUGAAAGCCUGGGGCUCAACCCCAGGUCUGCCGUGCGAAC
rnacentral:rRNA from 1 species